UUUUCUUAAAAUUGAAAUUCACUUAAUUUUUUUAUUUGCAAUGUAUAGGGUGAAGAUUCAGAACACAGUGGAUUAUUAAAACAUGUUAAAGAAGAGUCGUCACAGAAAUGGUCCAUCAAAUACUAAGUCGAGAAAAAAUUUUCUUCAGGAUCUUAUCAAAUGUUUUUGGAUAAGUACAAAUCCUGAAGAACUGAUUGAUAAGAUCAGGAAAGAUAAGAAGAGGACUUAUGGAGCAAAAGAGGAAGAAAUUGCUUUUAUCUUCGAUCAGCUGGAAGAGUGGAAAAGAAUAAUUGGAACAAAAGAUAAAAGUUUUUCAUAUGCUGUUGAAAGAUCACAAAAAGCAUUUGACUACCACGAAAAGUGCAGGAGACACUGCAAAUGAUCUUAACAUUUCACACAGCUCUGCUCUGUAGUCAUGAUAGUAACUCUGACUCAGACUUUGAAGCAGGUAUUAAUAAAGAAGAGUCUGGCUCAUCGAUUAUCCUUUCAAAAGAUAUUCUACAGAAAGCAGCACUUACUGCUAUAGGAGAGGGACUGUCUGCUAAACAGCACACUGCAAUUGUGUCCAGUAUCAUUGCAAACUCUGGAGGUUCUGUGUCAAACUUUGUUGUGUCAAGUACAACAUCAUUUAGAGCUGUAGAAAAAGUUUUGACCAAAAAAGGAGAGAAGAUUAGAAAACAAAUUUUUACUCUUGAGCAGUCAUCAGUAUCCCCAAUAACUCUACACGUUGAUAGCAAGAUUGUUAAAGAAAUCACAGAUGGGAAAGAAUUGCAACAUCACAGACUUGCAGUAUUAAUUAGAAUAAAUGGACAGACAGAGCUACUUGGUAUUCCACAUUCAACUUCAAGUACAGGAAAGGAGCAGAAAACAGCGAUCUUGGAACUUCUUAACCAAUUUGAGAUUACUGGCAAGUUUCACGGAUGUGUUUUUGAUACAACUAAUUUUAACACUGGUAAACAGAAAGGAGUAUGCAUUAAACUAGCUACAGAGGUUGAAAGGCUUCUACUUCUAUUAGCAUGCAGACAUCAUGUGUAUGAAAGACACAUUAUUCACUGUUGGAACAUCUAUCCCAGCAGUAACACAAUGGACCAGACAAUCCUUUUUUUAAAAGGCUUAAGCUUGUUUGGAACUCUUUGGAUCAUAAUUCUACUGUACUAAACAGAAUGAAGAUUGAGGAUAUUACUGACAACUGGUUGCAGGAUCAAUUCAAGAAAGCUUUUGAGUUCUCUGAAGAUGGAAAAGAUGAAGAAGAAUGGAUGCAGGUGUGAUUAUCUUGAGUUAGCCGAACUCACAGUAAUGGUGCUAUCUGGAGAUGUGCAGUACAGACUCUGAAAAGAAACCUGGACCUGUAAGUCAUGCCCGGUUUUAGAUGAAAGGAAUAUAUUUUAUGAAGAUGUUCCUUCUAUUGAAUAACAUUCCCAAUCUCAAGGCCCAUGAGAAGAAAAAAAUCAAAGAUAUGGUCUUCUUCACGGCAGUGUUUUACACUGAAUGGUUUCUCAGGGCGGAAAUUCCAGCAGUUGCUCCCUCUCAGGAUAUGAAAGCUCUGUGGCAAAUGAUAAGAUACUCUGAUGUCAAACCUGAGCAAGCAAAACCUGUUAUUGACUCACUGAAGAGACACACCUGGUACAUUGAUCCUACCGCUGUUGUAAUGGCUUUAGCUGAUGAGGAGGUCCAUGACCGUGGCGAGAUUGCUAAGAAGCUGUAUUCCAUACCAAGGCCUGAGAAUUAUGUUGUUCAAAGGCAGCAGGUGGAUUUUGAAUUGCUAAACAAUCUGGAUUUUUGUCAGGAUAAUCCUCCUAGCUUGGUUUCACUAAUAAAUGAACAGGUUCGUUUAUUAGUCGGUUCAUAUUUCAUCUCUUGAACCAUGGGAAGGCAGAGUUACAGUGGUUAAAGACUCCUGUUGAGACAUGGAACCUGAAUGAUUAUUAUCUGGAGUUUGAACAUUUUGUCAAAAAUUUGGAAGUAGUUAAUAAUUGCAGUGACAGAGCUGUGAAACUCGUUCAGGUACAAUUUUAAAAAUUAUCAAAUUUAAACCUAUUGUAGAAAUCAUAAAGGUAAUUUCAACAGGCAUAACUUAUUUUUAACUAAGAGCUGAUCAACAAAUCCCACAAGGAGAAGAUGAGACAGAACACUUUCCUUGUACCUAAUAAGUUUAAGAGUGGAAGAAAGAGAAAGAAGAAACUGAUUUUGAAAAUGUUUCUCUCUAAACAUUUGCGCUUUAUUUUUUAUGUUCUGGUACUUUAUUUUUUUAUGUUCUGGCAUUAUUGAAAGAUAAAAAAUGCUGCUAAACGUCAAAUAUUGAGAAACAAGUCCGACUGUAAACACCGAAGGCGCUAAAAAAGACCUUAUCAAAGAGCAAAAAAAGGCAAAAAAUCAACUUUUUUGAAAAAUGUAGUUGUUUAA